rnacentral:rRNA from 1 species
AGAUUGAACGCUGGCGGCAGGCCUAACACAUGCAAGUCGAGCGGUAGAGAGGUGCUUGCAUCUCUUGAGAGCGGCGGACGGGUGAGUAAUGCCUAGGAAUCUGCCUAGUGGUGGGGGAUAACGUUCGGAAACGGACGCUAAUACCGCAUACGUCCUACGGGAGAAAGCGGGGGACCUUCGGGCCUCGCGCCAUUAGAUGAGCCUAGGUCGGAUUAGCUAGUUGGUGAGGUAAUGGCUCACCAAGGCGACGAUCCGUAGCUGGUCUGAGAGGAUGAUCAGCCACACUGGAACUGAGACACGGUCCAGACUCCUACGGGAGGCAGCAGUGGGGAAUAUUGGACAAGUGGGCGCAAGCCUGAUCCAGCCAUACCGCGUGGGUGAAGAAGGCCUUGGUUGUAAGCCCUUUGUUGGAAGAAAGCAUUCGGUUAAUACCGGUGUUCGUGACGGUACCCAAAGAAUAAGCAACGGCUAACGUUCGCGCCAGACACGCCGCGGUAAU